UACGUAGGUGGCAAGCGUUGUCCGGAUUUACUGGGCGUAAAGGAUGCGUAGGCGGACAUUUAAGUCAGAUGUGAAAUACCCGAGCUUAACUUGGGUGCUGCAUUUGAAACUGGGUGUCUAGAGUGCAGGAGAGGUAAGUGGAAUUCCUAGUGUAGCGGUGAAAUGCGUAGAGAUUAGGAAGAACACCAGUGGCGAAGGCGACUUUCUGGUCUGUAACUGACGCUGAGGCGCGAAAGCGUGGGGAGCAAACAGG
rnacentral:rRNA from 1 species